rnacentral:lncRNA from 1 species
GACCAUUCUUGUGCAGCCCAGCAUCAUCAAAAGACUGCAUGCAUAUGACUGCCUUUCCCAACAAGAGAGAUUUUCUAGGACAUGGAUUGUUCUUCUUAAUAUGCAAAUAUGCUUGACUCUCACUUAAAAAAUAAUACCCUGUCUUAUUUGGGUAGGCAAACUAGAUUGUAACAAGCAGAAGACUACCAUUGACAAUAGGUAGAAAAUCUAGGAAAACCUACAAAUAUAUCACAAGCUAUCAUCAGAGAAUCACAGAAGACAAUGGGAGACCAAGAUUGUAAACAUGGGCGAAUCUUUAAGAAAUGAGACAAGAAUCUGCUGCUGCUGUUCUUCUGGGGCUUCUGUCAAUUCCAGGCAUUUGUUGUAG